CCCGUAGUGCAAUAGAUAGCACGUUGGACUUCCAAUCCACUGGCUAUGGGUUCGAAUCUCACCUUAAAGG